AUGUACCACUCGUACACUGCGGUUCCUGUGCGCCGUCCGCACCCACCUGACGACUGCUCGCUACGUUUUGUUAGCC
rnacentral:sRNA from 1 species